GGGUCAGUAGGUUGGUCGUGCCACCGGUACGUACUGGUCUCACUGAUUCCUCCUUCCUGAAGAACCGUAAUGCCAUUAAUUUGGUGUUGCGGGGAAACAGGACCGUUACUUUGAAAAAAUUAGAGUGUUUAAAGCAAGCUAACGCUUGAAUACAUUAGCGUGGAAUAAUGAAAUAGGACGAUCGAUCCUAUUUUGUUGGUUUCUAGGAUUGACGUA
rnacentral:rRNA from 1 species